AACGCCGGGUUAAGGCGCCCUGUGCCAAUGCUCAUCAGACCCCAGAAAAGGUGUUGGUUCAUACAGACAGCAGGACGGUGGCCAUGGAAGUCGGAACCCGCUAAGGAGUGUGUAACAUCUCACUUGCCGAAUCAACUAGCAUUGAAAAUAGAUGGCGCCGGAACGUCGGUCCCAUACCCGUCCGUCGACG